GAUGAACGCUAGAUACAGGCUUAACACAUGCAAGUCGAGGGGUGACGAGAGGAAAGCUUGCUUUCCUUGUCGACGACCGGCGCACGGGUGAGUAACGCGUACCCAACCUGCCCCCAACUAGGGAAUAACCUUGCGAAAGUAAGACUAAUACCCUAUAAUUUCCUCAGAUGUCAUCUGACGAGGAAUAAAGAUUUAUCGGUUGAGGAUGGGGAUGCGUCUGAUUAGCUUGUUGGCGGGGUAACGGCCCACCAAGGCAACGAUCAGUAGGGGUUCUGAGAGGAAGGUCCCCCACAUUGGAACUGAGACACGGUCCAAACUCCUACGGGAGGCAGCAGUGAGGAAUAUUGGUCAAUGGGCGGAAGCCUGAACCAGCCAAGUAGCGUGCAGGAUGACGGCCCUAUGGGUUGUAAACUGCUUUUAUACAGGAAUAAAGUUAGCCACGUGUGGUUAUUUGUAGGUACUGUAUGAAUAAGGACCGGCUAAUUCCGUGCCAGCAGCCGCGGUAA
rnacentral:rRNA from 1 species